UUAAGCGACUAAGCGUACACGGUGGAUGCCCUGGCAGUCAGAGGCGAUGAAGGGCGUGCUAAUCUGCGAUAAGCGCCGGUAAGGUGAUAUGAACCGUUAUAACCGGCGAUACCCGAAUGGGGAAACCCAGUGUGAUUCGUCACACUAUCAUUAACUGAAUCCAUAGGUUAAUGAGGCGAACCGGGGGAACUGAAACAUCUAAGUACCCCGAGGAAAAGAAAUCAACCGAGAUUCCCCCAGUAGCGGCGAGCGAACGGGGAGGAGCCCAGAGCCUGAAUCAGCAUGUGUGUUAGUGGAAGCGUCUGGAAAGGCGCGCGAUACAGGGUGACAGCCCCGUACACAAAAGCGCAUGUGCUGUGAGCUCGAUGAGUAGGGCGGGACACGUGGUAUCCUGUCUGAAUAUGGGGGGACCAUCCUCCAAGGCUAAAUACUCCUGACUGACCGAUAGUGAACCAGUACCGUGAGGGAAAGGCGAAAAGAACCCCGGCGAGGGGAGUGAAAAAGAACCUGAAACCGUGUACGUACAAGCAGUGGGAGCCCCACCACUAAGCCAGUGGUGAACUCCACAUACGCAUCCUUUGCUGAGGAUACGGUUAACGGAGCGAAAGCGACGUUCAACCGCAAAACAAGCAGAGGGGGCUUAGUGGUGGGGUGACUGCGUACCUUUUGUAUAAUGGGUCAGCGACUUAUAUUCUGUAGCAAGGUUAACCGAAUAGGGGAGCCGUAGGGAAACCGAGUCUUAACCGGGCGUUAAGUUGCAGGGUAUAGACCCGAAACCCGGUGAUCUAGCCAUGGGCAGGUUGAAGGUUGGGUAACACUAACUGGAGGACCGAACCGACUAAUGUUGAAAAAUUAGCGGAUGACCUGUGGCUGGGGGUGAAAGGCCAAUCAAACCGGGAGAUAGCUGGUUCUCCCCGAAAGCUAUUUAGGUAGCGCCUCGUGAAUUCAUCUCCGGGGGUAGAGCACUGUUUCGGCUAGGGGGCCAUCCCGGCUUACCAACCCGAUGCAAACUGCGAAUACCGGAGAAUGUUAUCACGGGAGACACACGGCGGGUGCUAACGUCCGUCGUGAAGAGGGAAACAACCCAGACCGCCAGCUAAGGUCCCAAAGUCAUGGUUAAGUGGGAAACGAUGUGGGAAGGCCCAGACAGCCAGGAUGUUGGCUUAGAAGCAGCCAUCAUUUAAAGAAAGCGUAAUAGCUCACUGGUCGAGUCGGCCUGCGCGGAAGAUGUAACGGGGCUAAACCAUGCACCGAAGCUGCGGCAGCGAACGUAUCACUUAAAGCGAUUCAGCGGGUUACGAUUGACGGAGCGAAGCGACGUCAAAGCGUAUACAAAGUCGAGUCGGUUUAAGGAUACGUUCGUUGGGUAGGGGAGCGUUCUGUAAGCCUGCGAAGGUGGCCUGUGAGGGUUGCUGGAGGUAUCAGAAGUGCGAAUGCUGACAUAAGUAACGAUAAAGCGGGUGAAAAGCCCGCUCGCCGGAAGACCAAGGGUUCCUGUCCAACGUUAAUCGGGGCAGGGUGAGUCGACCCCUAAGGCGAGGCCGAAAGGCGUAGUCGAUGGGAAACGGGUUAAUAUUCCCGUACUUGGUGUUACUGCGAAGGGGGGACGGAGAAGGCUAUGUUGGCCGGGCGACGGUUGUCCCGGUUUAAGCGUGUAGGUGUGUGUUCCAGGUAAAUCCGGUUCACUUUAACACUGAGGCGUGACGACGAGGCACUACGGUGCUGAAGCAACAAAUGCCCUGCUUCCAGGAAAAGCCUCUAAGCAUCAGGUAACAUCAAAUCGUACCCCAAACCGACACAGGUGGUCAGGUAGAGAAUACCAAGGCGCUUGAGAGAACUCGGGUGAAGGAACUAGGCAAAAUGGUGCCGUAACUUCGGGAGAAGGCACGCUGAUAUGUAGGUGAAGCGGUUUACCCGUGGAGCUGAAAUCAGUCGAAGAUACCAGCUGGCUGCAACUGUUUAUUAAAAACACAGCACUGUGCAAACACGAAAGUGGACGUAUACGGUGUGACGCCUGCCCGGUGCCGGAAGGUUAAUUGAUGGGGUCAGCGCAAAGCGAAGCUCCUGAUCGAAGCCCCGGUAAACGGCGGCCGUAACUAUAACGGUCCUAAGGUAGCGAAAUUCCUUGUCGGGUAAGUUCCGACCUGCACGAAUGGCGUAAUGAUGGCCAGGCUGUCUCCACCCGAGACUCAGUGAAAUUGAACUCGCUGUGAAGAUGCAGUGUACCCGCGGCAAGACGGAAAGACCCCGUGAACCUUUACUAUAGCUUGACACUGAACAUUGAGCCUUGAUGUGUAGGAUAGGUGGGAGGCUUUGAAGUGUGGACGCCAGUCUGCAUGGAGCCGACCUUGAAAUACCACCCUUUAAUGUUUGAUGUUCUAACGUGGACCCGUAAUCCGGGUUGCGGACAGUGUCUGGUGGGUAGUUUGACUGGGGCGGUCUCCUCCUAAAAGAGUAACGGAGGAGCACGAAGGUUGGCUAAUCCUGGUCGGACAUCAGGAGGUUAGUGCAAUGGCAUAAGCCAGCUUGACUGCGAGCGUGACGGCGCGAGCAGGUGCGAAAGCAGGUCAUAGUGAUCCGGUGGUUCUGAAUGGAAGGGCCAUCGCUCAACGGAUAAAAGGUACUCCGGGGAUAACAGGCUGAUACCGCCCAAGAGUUCAUAUCGACGGCGGUGUUUGGCACCUCGAUGUCGGCUCAUCACAUCCUGGGGCUGAAGUAGGUCCCAAGGGUAUGGCUGUUCGCCAUUUAAAGUGGUACGCGAGCUGGGUUUAGAACGUCGUGAGACAGUUCGGUCCCUAUCUGCCGUGGGCGCUGGAGAACUGAGGGGGGCUGCUCCUAGUACGAGAGGACCGGAGUGGACGCAUCACUGGUGUUCGGGUUGUCAUGCCAAUGGCACUGCCCGGUAGCUAAAUGCGGAAGAGAUAAGUGCUGAAAGCAUCUAAGCACGAAACUUGCCCCGAGAUGAGUUCUCCCUGAGACUUAGAGUCUCCUGAAGGAACGUUGAAGACGACGACGUUGAUAGGCCGGGUGUGUAAGCGCAGCGAUGCGUUGAGCUAACCGGUACUAAUGAACCGUGAGGCUUAACCUU
rnacentral:rRNA from 1 species